CCGGAGUUGUGUCGCCGCCGUCGAAGUUGCCGGUCGCUGCGCGGUCCGGCUCACACCGCGAGGUGUUGUUACCGUCCGUCUGGUUCCGACACAUCGUGCUGUUGAACAGCAUGGCGGGACCGGAGAACCGACUCAGGGUUGUAGGAGUCGACAGUUACACUGUUCCCAUGUUUGGUCAGAGCAAGACUACAACGUAGUGAAGGGAAGAUGACACAAAAACUCCUCUAAACAGACCAAGUUUUACAGCGGUCACUUCUGUCACAUAUUAGAGAAUAACCACCUUGCAAGAGGAGUUUGUUGGAUACGAAUGACAAAUGCACGUUCAAACGCAUUGGGGAAUUUCCUCAGAGUAGUCUUCAGUCAUUCUCCCUUUCAAAGACGAGACGGAUCACGCAGUCAGUUCUCUGCCAGAGAAGAAUGAUUCACCCUGUUCAUGUGCCUGCUGCAAACCGGG